rnacentral:rRNA from 1 species
AGAGUAUGAUCCUGGCUCAGAACGAACGCUGGCGGCAGGCUUAACACAUGCAAGUCGAACGAGAUCUUCGGAUCUAGUGGCGGACGGGUGAGUAACGCGUGGGAACAUGCCCUUCACUACGGAAUAGUCCCGGGAAACUGGGUUUAAUACCGUAUACGCCCUUCGGGGGAAAGAAUUUCGGUGAAGGAUUGGCCCGCGUUAGAUUAGGUAGUUGGUGGGGUAAUGGCCUACCAAGCCUACGAUCUAUAGCUGGUUUUAGAGGAUGAUCAGCCACACUGGGACCGAGACACGGCCCAGACUCCUACGGGAGGCAGCAGUGGGGAAUCUUAGACAAUGGGCGAAAGCCUGAUCUAGCCAUGCCGCGUGAGUGACGAAGGCCUUAGGGUCGUAAAGCUCUUUCGCCAGGGAUGAUAAUGACAGUACCUGGUAAAGAAACCCCGGCUAACUCCGUGCCAGCAGCCGCGGUAAUACGGAGGGGGUUAGCGUUGUUCGGAAUUACUGGGCGUAAAGCGCGCGUAGGCGGAUUGGAAAGUUGGGGGUGAAAUCCCAGGGCUCAACCCUGGAACUGCCUCCAAAACUACUAGUCUAGAGUUCGAGAGA